rnacentral:rRNA from 1 species
CGUGUUACAAUGGCAGGUACAGAGGGAUGCUACCGGGCGACCGGAUGCGGAUCUCGAAAGCCUGUCCCAGUUCGGACUGGAGUCUGCAACCCGACUCCACGAAGUUGGAUUCGCUAGUAAUCGCGCAUCAGCCAUGGCGCGGUGAAUACGUUCCCGGGCCUUGUACACACCGCCCGUCAAGCCAUGGGAGCCGGGGGCGCCUGAAGUCCGGGACCGCGAGGACCGGCCUAGGGCGAAACUGGUAACUGGGGCUAAGUCGUAACAAGGUAGC